rnacentral:rRNA from 1 species
UACGAAGGGUGCAAGCGUUACUCGGAAUUACUGGGCGUAAAGGGUGCGUAGGUGGUUGUUUAAGUCUGCUGUGAAAUCCCCGGGCUCAACCUGGGAAUGGCAGUGGAUACUGGAUAGCUAGAGUGCGGUAGAGGGUAGUGGAAUUCCCGGUGUAGCAGUGAAAUGCGUAGAGAUCGGGAGGAACACCAGUGGCGAAGGCGGCUACCUGGACCAGCACUGACACUGAAGCACGAAAGCGUAGGGAGCAAACAGG